rnacentral:rRNA from 1 species
GACGAACGCUGGCGGCGUGCUUAACACAUGCCAGUCGAACGGUAAAGGACUGAUCUUGCUCGCUCCUCAAGAGGCGCGAACGGGUGAAAAACACGUGUGCAAUCCGCUCCGAACUGGGGUAUAAGCAUUGGAAACGACGUCUAAUACCAUAUACGCCGCUGCUGCGCAGCCUCGCCGCGUGGAAAUAACGGCGGUUGGGGAUGAUCUCGCGGCUUAUCAGCUUGUUGGUGGGGUAGGGGCUCACCAAGGCUGUGACGGGUAGCCGGCCUGAGAGGGUGACCGGCCACAGUGGGACUGAGAUACGGCCCAGACUCCUACGGGAGGCAGCAGUGGGGAAUAUUGCACAAUGGGCGGAAGCCUGAUGCAGCAACGCCGCGUGCGGGAUGACGGCCUUCGGGUUGUAAACCGCUUUCGGCUGGGAAGAAGCGAAAGUGACGGUAAUUGGAAAAGAAGCACCGGCUAACUACGUG